UACGGGGGGGGGUAAGCGUUGUUCGGAAUUACUGGGCGUAAAGGGCGCGUAGGUGGCCUUCUAAGUUGAACGUGAAAUCCCUGGGCUCAACCCAGGAACUGCGUCCAAGACUGGGAGGCUUGAAUCCGGGAGAGGGAUGUGGAAUUCCAGGUGUAGCGGUGAAAUGCGUAGAUAUCUGGAGGAACACCCGUGGCGAAGGCGGCUUUCUGGGACGGUACUGACGCUGAGACGCGAAAGCGUGGGGAGCGAACAGG
rnacentral:rRNA from 1 species